rnacentral:rRNA from 1 species
GAUGAACGCUGGCGGCGUGCCUAAUACAUGCAAGUCGAGCGAACGGACGAGAAGCUUGCUUCUCUGAUGUUAGCGGCGGACGGGUGAGUAACACGUGGAUAACCUACCUAUAAUACUGGGAUAACUUCGGGAAACCGGAGCUAAUACCGGAUAAUAUUUUGAACCGCAUGGUUCAAAAGUGAAAGACGGUCUUGCUGUCUCUUAUAGAUGGAUCCGCGCUGCAUUAGCUAGUUGGUAAGGUAACGGCUUACCAAGGCAACGAUGCAUAGCCGACCUGAGAGGGUGAUCGGCCACACUGGAACUGAGACACGGUCCAGACUCCUACGGGAGGCAGCAGUAGGGAAUCUUCCGCAAUGGGCGAAAGCCUGACGGAGCAACGCCGCGUGAGUGAUGAAGGUCUUCGGAUCGUAAAACUCUGUUAUUAGGGAAGAACAUAUGUGUAAGUAACUGUGCACAUCUUGACGGUACCUAAUCAGAAAGCCACGGCUAACUACGUG